CCCCGUGAACCUUUACUAUAGCUUGACACUGAACAUUGAGCCUUGAUGUGUAGGAUAGGUGGGAGGCUUUGAAGUGUGGACGCCAGUCUGCAUGGAGCCGGCCUUGAAAUACCACCCUUUAAUGUUUGAUGUUCUAACGUUGGCCCCUGAUCGGGGUUGCGGACAGUGUCUGGUGGGUAGUUUGACUGGGGCGGUCUCCUCCUAAAGAGUAACGGAGGAGCACGAAGGUUGGCUAAUCCUGGUCGGACAUCAGGAGGUUAGUGCAAUGGCAUAAGCCAGCUUGACUGCGAGCGUGACGGCGCGAGCAGGUGCGAAAGCAGGUCAUAGUGAUCCGGUGGUUCUGAAUGGAAGGGCCAUCGCUCAACGGAUAAAAGGUACUCCGGGGAUAACAGGCUGAUACCGCCCAAGAGUUCAUAUCGACGGCGGUGUUUGGCACCUCGAUGUCGGCUCAUCACAUCCUGGGGCUGAAGUAGGUCCCAAGGGUAUGGCUGUUCGCCAUUUAAAGUGGUACGCGAGCUGGGUUUAGAACGUCGUGAGACAGUUCGGUCCCUAUCUGCCGUGGGCGCUGGAGAACUGAGGGGGGCUGCUCCUAGUACGAGAGGACCGGAGUGGACGCAUCACUGGUGUUCGGGUUGUCAUGCCAAUGGCACUGCCCGGUAGCUAAAUGCGGAAGAGAUAAGUGCUGAAAGCAUCUAAGCACGAAACUUGCCCCGAGAUGAGUUCUCCCUGACUCCUUGAGAGUCCUGAAGGAACGUUG
rnacentral:rRNA from 1 species